GACGAACGCUGGCGGCGUGCUUAACACAUGCAAGUCGAACGAUGAAGCCGGAGCUUGCUCUGGUGAAUUAGUGGCGAACGGGUGAGUAACACGUGAGUAACCUGCCCUUGACUCUGGGAUAACUGCGGGAAACUGUAGCUAAUACCGGAUACGACCCUCGGAGGCAUCUCCUGGGGGUGGAAAGAAUUUCGGUCAAGGAUGGACUCGCGGCCUAUCAGCUAGUUGGUGGGGUAAAAGCUCACCAAGGCGACGACGGGUAGCCGGCCUGAGAGGGUGACCGGCCCCACUGGGACUGAGACACGGCCCAGACUCCUACGGGAGGCAGCAGUGGGGAAUAUUGCACAAUGGGCGCAAGCCUGAUGCAGCAACGCCGCGUGAGGGAUGACGGCCUUCGGGUUGUAAACCUCUUUUAGCAGGGAAGAAGCGAGAGUGACGGUACCUGCAGAAAAAGCACCGGCUAACUACGUGCCAGCCGCCGCAGUAA
rnacentral:rRNA from 1 species